ensembl:snoRNA SNORD58 Small nucleolar RNA SNORD58
UUGCUGUGAUGACCAUCUUAGGACACCUUUGGAAUGCCCGUGAAAAAAAAUACGUAUUUCUGAGCAAC